rnacentral:rRNA from 1 species
UACGGAGGGGACUAGCGUUGUUCGGAAUUACUGGGCGUAAAGCGCACGUAGGCGGAUUUGUUAGUCAGGGGUGAAAUCCCGAGGCUCAACCUCGGAACUGCCUUUGAUACUGCAAAUCUCGAGUCCGGAAGAGGUGAGUGGAAUUCCUAGUGUAGAGGUGAAAUUCGUAGAUAUUAGGAGGAACACCAGUGGCGAAGGCGGCUCACUGGUCCGGUACUGACGCUGAGGUGCGAAAGCGUGGGGAGCAAACAGG